UUAAGAGAAGGGCAUACUAGUAAUUUGAAUUCUUUAAGUAAUAAAAAUUUCUGGAAAUACCACUAAAUGGAAUUAUGCUCUUCAGAAGGUUGGACCUCACUCAGUAGUACACUGACUUUAGAAGCUUCUUGGAUUACCUGGUGAAAGAAUGCAACUCGAGUUGGAGUCGGGAGUUCAGAAGUCAUAUACAUUUAAAUCUUAGCGUUUCCCUUUUUUCCCUUCAGAUGUCUGAAGCAACUUUAAAUGGGAGCUUCAGUUCUUCAUACAUCCCCAAACUGCAAAAUCGCCUCUAGCUGCUGAGCUCUCUCAAUCUCCAUUAGACUCAUGCCCAUUUACUGAGGCCAAAACUGUCCACCUCUUACUGCUCGCUCUCUCUCUCUCUCUCUCUCUCUCUCUGUAUUUUUUUUCUAUUUUUUUUAAAUUAGUACUUCCCUAUAGGAAAUACAAUGAAGUCUUCUCUUGCCCUGAGGUCAGAUUCAAGACUUUCAGAGUGUUAGAACAGGCAGAGAUCCUAGCACUGAGCUGGUCCAACCUCUCCUUUUCACAGGCGAGGAAACUGGGGUCGGAGUAGUUAAAGAGACUUAUCUACAGUCAUAGAAUGAUUUCCUGCAAAAUAAAGAACAGUAUGGAUUGUGUAGAAUGACAGGCCUCUGAAGUUACCCAGACUGCAUAUGUGUCCCAGAUCCACCUUUUGCCCUAUGGCCCGAGGCAUAACCACAUAACCACAGCUUCUACGUCAUAUAUAGGAAGGGGAUAAUAAAAUAUAUAUGAAGGGUUGCUAUGUGGACUAAAUGAGAGCUAAAAGAGUGUCUGCCCCAGGAUAGACUUUCAAUAAACGUCAGUUUCUUUUCUUACAAAGACAAGAUACCAGAAGUCUUCAAAUAUUUAGGGGAUUAAGAUGGCCAAAUGUCUCAAAUUUAUUUUAGGCCACAUGUAAACGAGGUAGAACUUCUAUUCUUAACUGACUUCUGUAAUCUGUACCAUUUCCUAAAACCCCUUAUCUCCAUAGGAACUCCUUGAAACAAAAAUAUUUCCACCAAUGGCAGAAUGCAGUACUCCUGUGCCUUCCUCUUGAAGCCUGAAAAGUGCUCUUUCUUCACAUUGGGAGGGGGAAGGGACCUUCCUGACAUUGGCCUAUAUUACUCAGGAUGUAGCUCAAGAUCCAGAAGAUGGGCCUCCUGGUUAUAUGAAAUCAGGACAUGGUGUGAACACUGAUCAGCCAGGGACUGACACAAAGUGGUCCCCAAAGAAGGAAGAUUGGACAGAAACAAGAGGCAACUGAGAAGAGCCACAUUUUUAGUGAAAUUCCACUUUGAUAAACCCUCUGGAAGAAAUAGUUUUUCACAAAGAACUUUGACUUGUUCGGGUAUCCCCCAGGCUUCCACACACCCCAGGAGACAUGGGAAGGUGACCCCCCACUCCACAGUUCCCAGGAGUGAGCCUGAUUUAAUAAGGAUCAUCUUGUUCCUGCAGAGGAGAGAAAUGAGAAUGUACCAAAUUUCUAGAAGAGAACAGGAUUGCACGGCACCCUACAGGAUGGCUUGGCCUUGGCCUGAGGUUCACGGGAAUCUUCCAUUCUGUGCCUUUUCUGAGAGCCUGGCUUACCAGAGCUGGAGUGUGAGCAGGGACUUAUAACGGCUGGAAGCUUGGCCUCCACAUCCAGCACCCAGGAGCUUCUCCACUCGGCCAGGAAAUUGCCCAGCUGAAUGGUGUCUAGGGAUUGCUCUCCUGGUCCUCAGAAAGGAAGGACAGCGACACCAGCAACAGCUGGCAUCUCUACCUGGUCAAAUAGCCAAGUAGUUAUGAAGGAGACCCUC